GGUAGUGACCGAAAGAACGAGAUCGCGGGUACAAGCGGCCGAAAUGAGUUUCCUCCGCAGGGUGGCUGGGCUCUCCCUUAGAGAUAGGGUGAGGAGCUCGGUCAUUCGGGAGGGACUCAGAGUAGAGCCGCUGCUCCUCCGCAGGGUGGCUGGGCUCUCCCUUAGAAAUAGGGUGAGGAGCUCGGUCAUUCGGGAGGGACUCAGAGUAGAGCCGCUGCUCCUCCGCAGGGUGGCUGGGCUCUCCCUUAGAGAUAGGGUG